CUACGGGUGGCGCAGUGGGGAAUAUUGCACAAUGGAGGAAACUCUGAUGCAGCAACGCCGCGUGGAGGAUGACACUUUUCGGAGCGUAAACUCCUUUUAUAUAGGAAGAAGAUGACGGUACUAUAUGAAUAAGCGCCGGCUAACUCCGUGCCAGCAGCCGCGGUAAUACGGAGGGCGCAAGCGUUACUCGGAAUCACUGGGCGUAAAGAGCGUGUAGGCGGAUUAAAAAGUAAGAAGUGAAAUCCUAUAGCUUAACUAUAGAACUGCUUCUGAAACUCUUAAUCUAGAAUAUGGGAGAGGUAGAUGGAAUUUCUGGUGUAGGGGUAAAAUCCGUAGAGAUCAGAAGGAAUACCGAUUGCGAAGGCGAUCUACUAGAACAUUAUUGACGCUGAGACGCGAAAGCGUGGGGAGCAAACAGGAUUAGAUACCCUUGUAGUC
rnacentral:rRNA from 1 species